rnacentral:rRNA from 1 species
GAAACGACUGCUAAGACUGGAUAGGAGAUAAGAAGGCAUCUUUUUAUUUUUAAAAGACCUAGCAAUAGGUAUGCUUAGGGAAGAGCUUGCGUCACAUUAGUUAGUUGGUGGGGUAAUGGCCUACCAAGACGAUGAUGUGUAGCCGGGCUGAGAGGUCGAACGGCCACAUUGGGACUGAGACACGGCCCAAACUCCUACGGGAGGCAGCAGUAAGGAAUUUUCGGCAAUGGAGGAAACUCUGACCGAGCAAUGCCGCGUGAACGAUGAAGUAUUUUGGUACGUAAAGUUCUUUUAUUAGGGAAGAAAAGAUGGUGGAAAAACCAUUAUGACGGUACCUAAUGAAUAAGCCCCGGCUAACUAUGUGCCAGCAGCCGCGGUAAUACAUAGGGGGCAAGCGUUAUCCGGAAUUAUUGGGCGUAAAGGGUGCGUAGGCGGUUAAAUAAGUUUAUGGUCUAAGUGCAACGCUCAACGUUGUGAUGCUAUAAAAACUGUUUAGCUAGAGUUGGAUAGAGGCAAGUGGAAUUCCGUGUGUAGUGGUAAAAUGCGUAAAUAUACGGAGGAACACCAGAAGCGAAGGCGGCUUGCUGGGUCUUAACUGACGCUGAGGCACGAAAGCGUGGGGAGCAAACAGGAUUAGAUACCCUGGUAGUCCACGCUGUAAACGAUGAGUACUAAGUGUCGGGGCAACUCGGUACUGAAGUUAACACAUUAAGUACUCCGCCUGAGUAGUACGUACGCAAGUAUGAAACUUAAAGGAAUUGACGGGACUCCGCACAAGCGGUGGAUCAUGUUGUUUAAUUCGAAGAUACACGAAAAACCUUACCAGGUCUUGACAUACUCUGCGAAGCUAUAGAAAUACAGUGGAGGUUAUCAGAAGCACAGGUGGUGCAUGGUUGUCGUCAGCUCGUGUCGUGAGAUGUUGGGUUAAGUCCCGCAACGAGCGCAACCCUUGUUGUUAAUUGCCAUCAUUAAGUUGGGGACUUUAGCAAGACUGCCAAUGAUAAAUUGGAGGAAGGUAGGGACGACGUCAAAUCAUCAUGCUCCUUAUGACCUGGGCUACAAACGUGAUACAAUGGCUGUUACAAAGGGUAGCUAAAGCGUAAGCUUCUGGCGAAUCUCAAAAAAGCAGUCUCAGUUCGGAUUGAAGUCUGCAACUCGACUUCAUGAAGUUGGAAUCGCUAGUAAUCGCGAAUCAGCAUGUCGCGGUGAAUACGUUCCGGGGUUUGUACACACCGCCCGUCA